AGAAAUCUCACCAGGCCCGGACACUGGAAGGAUUGACAGAUUGAUAGCUCUUCCUUGAUUCGGUGGGUGGUGGUGCAUGGCUGUUCUUAGUUGGUUGAGUGAUUUGUCUUGUUAAUUCCUAUAACGAACGAGACUCUGUCCUGCUAAAUAGUGACGCGGUUCAUCGAACCGUGGGCCACUUCUUAGAGGGACUAUCGGAUUCAAACCGAUGGAAGUGUGAGGCAAUAA
rnacentral:rRNA from 1 species